GACCCGUAAUCCGGGUUGCGGACAGUGUCUGGUGGGUAGUUUGACUGGGGCGGUCUCCUCCUAAAGAGUAACGGAGGAGCACGAAGGUUGGCUAAUCCUGGUCGGACAUCAGGAGGUUAGUGCAAUGGCAUAAGCCAGCUUGACUGCGAGCGUGACGGCGCGAGCAGGUGCGAAAGCAGGUCAUAGUGAUCCGGUGGUUCUGAAUGGAAGGGCCAUCGCUCAACGGAUAAAAGGUACUCCGGGGAUAACAGGCUGAUACCGCCCAAGAGUUCAUAUCGACGGCGGUGUUUGGCACCUCGAUGUCGGCUCAUCACAUCCUGGGGCUGAAGUAGGUCCCAAGGGUAUGGCUGUUCGCCAUUUAAAGUGGUACGCGAGCUGGGUUUAGAACGUCGUGAGACAGUUCGGUCCCUAUCUGCCGUGGGCGCUGGAGAACUGAGGGGGGCUGCUCCUAGUACGAGAGGACCGGAGUGGACGCAUCACUGGUGUUCGGGUUGUCAUGCCAAUGGCACUGCCCGGUAGCUAAAUGCGGAAGAGAUAAGUGCUGAAAGCAUCUAAGCACGAAACUUGCCCCGAGAUGAGUUCUCCCUGACUCCUUGAGAGUCCUGAAGGAACGUUGAAGACGACGACGUUGAUAGGCCGGGUGUGUAAGCGCAGCGAUGCGUUGAGCUAACCGGUACUAAUGAACCGUGAGG
rnacentral:rRNA from 1 species